GAAGAAGCUCAAUGGAACUAGAGCUGUCUCUUGUUGACAUGUAAAGAAGAUCUUUGCUUCCACUUCAGCUUCUGCCAUGAUUGCUUCCUGGGACCUCCUCAGCCCUGUGGAACUGUGAGUCAAUUGAACCUCUUUUCUUUAUAAAUUACCCAGUAGCAGGCAGUUUUUGAGAGCAGUGUGAAAACAGACUAAUACACCUCUUUGCUCACCCCAGAGUCUAUUAAUUGAAAGAAAGGUAGCACAAGUUAGGGACUGAUCCCAAACUGGUCUGUGCCUCAGAAUUAGUUGCAAGGUUUG
rnacentral:lncRNA from 1 species